GCUGUCGGUAUUCUGUUGGAGCUGUUGCAAAGAUUCAGAACUCUUGUGACCCUGGAAUAAACUCUGGAUUUAACCCUCCGGCGGAAUCUGCUCCUGUCUCUUCACCAUCACCUGAACUUUUUCCACUAGAGGUAAACUGAGUUGCUACUUUGCUUGGACUCAUUCUGAGUGCCUAACUCCCAGCCAGCCAAGGGUGUCUCUGAGGUGAAAAACCACAGCUGCUACCUUUGAGCACUAAGGCCAGACAAGCCCAGGCACGCACCACUCAGCAAUAUUGGGAUUAUAUUCUAAUAGAGCCUAUUGUUGUAUUCUAGCUAGUUUUCCCAGUAAUUUUCCAUGCCAUUUUCCUAGGCAGGAAGACAAAACAAAUUCCAGAGCUCCAAGCCCCGUGGGGGGUACAAGGCCCUUAUUCUUUUUUGGUUCUUCCUGGGAACUGAGACAGAGUGGAAAUUUUCCAGAGUAGAAAUCCAUUUUGAUUUAGGUGAAAUGUACAUUUUUUAAUUAAGUCUGUAGCUUGUAAACAUUGCUGUUUGGUCUGACUGCCUGUUCUCGCAAAAAGCCUAUGCUCUAAGAAACUGCUUCAGCCAAAGGACAGAGAUAAGGGGGUUGGCCCUUGAACUCUGAAAAAGACAGAGAGGCUGCUAUGGAAAGCAGGGUCAAAAUGACCUAGUAAUUCUUUCUGAUAAAGAAAAAUUAGAGGCAAAUGUCAUGCACGAAAUCAGUAGAAUGAAUAUGUAUGAACCUAUUGUGAAAUUGCAUGCAUAUGUAUUUGAGAGGGAGAUAAAAAAAGGAUCUGGAGCUCCCAGAGGCACCCAUGUCAUUUUAAGGGGAUGAUCCCCACAUGCAUCCAGCGCUGUAAUAAACAUAUCAGCUUUACAACUUUCACAAAAGUUGUGAAGUUUGUUUGCUUUUGCAAAUCAGAACUAAGGCCGAAAACAGCUCUUUGAGAAACAAAGUACUGCUAGUACUAAGGGCAGGGGGGUCCAGAGAAGGGGCUUGACCUAGAGGGGAAUUGCAUCCUCCUAAUUGGUGCUUUUUUGCCAAUUAUGCUGAUUUGCUAAAUUCAUAAAUACUGUAUUCAUCCUGUGUGGGUGGGCUUUUGUGGAUGUCAUGGUUUAAGCCUGGCACAAUACCAGUGCCCCCAUGAGAACACCUACUUCCCUGGCACCUAUUGUGAGAUAUGAUCAGAGACAGAGCAAAGCAGGCUCCAACUUAAGGUUAAAAAGAAAAAAAAGCAUUUAUUAACCUACAACUACAAAGGAAGACACACAAAACACAAUAGAACAUAAGAUGAAAACCUUCCAAAAUUCUUCCUCCUCCCCCCACCAAAUUUCCAAUUUCAUUGCCACCCUUCAGACAAUCGAUUCUCAGUCUCUUGAGGAGAGAGAAGUCCCUCUUGCGCCACACGCCUUCCAUGUCCAGUGCUCUCACCACUGCACAUGGAUCAGAGCUGCUUCUGGGGUUUUUCAUUUUAAGGAUACUUUGACCAGUUCCAAAGGGAGCACAGUCCUUCUCUUUUUGGGACACCUGUCCCCCCCAAAUUUCACCCCCUGGGGCCGAGGGGUCUCUUGAACAGAGAUCGUCUUCUUCUCUUCUUCGAGACGGAGGGCACCACCACACCCUCCUCACCCGUCGUCUCUGUUCACUCCUCCACAUCACUGCACUCUCUUGGCUCUGAGCCAUCGCCUCCCCCUAGAACGCAGUCUCUGUGGCACAGAAACACCCGUGGUUCUGCUGUGGCUACACAAGAAAAGUCCAGCCCAAAGCCACUUCAUCAUCUCCUCCCACCUAGAAUUUUCCUCAACAUCUUCUCAAUCUCAACAUCUUCUAAAUCUCAUCAACUUCAGGAGGACUCAGCUUUUGCAAGGUUCUCAUCUUCCUCAAAGGGGUUAAAAGUCCCGAGCUCUCUCUC